rnacentral:sRNA from 1 species
GGGAAUAUCUUGCCUUCCAGCCCUCCAGCCCAUGGAGGAAGGCCCUGCAAUGACAGAGCCCCUGGGGAAAGAAUGCCAGGUGCAUCCAGGAACUGGCAGACACAGAGCUCCUGAUGGUCCCAGGGCUUCACUUAGCAUGGUUCCUGUUGCUAAGCAAUGGAAGUGCUGGACCUGUCAUCUAUCAUCUGCUGUCCAGCACUCCAGGGAUGCCCUGUGAAGUUCAAAUCUUCCAUGAACCAUCUCUCUCCCAAAGGCGUCUGGUCCACAGAAGGAAGCCAGGUCUCCCGGAUGACUGCAUCGUUGUUCCAUGGAGCUUUUAAAAUGCAAGUGUCCUGAAUGGCAGUGGUGCCAGGUGACAGCUGUGGGCACACCUCAUCCUGAAGCGCUGUAGGAACUGACACCAGUGAAUGCCAGAUAUGGGGAAAGGUGAGACUGGCUAGGUGGCUGCAAU